UCCCUCUUCCCUGGGUGCGGAUUUCGCUGCCGCCUUGUCCAUGGCUUCCAUGUCCUCUGAGUCAAUAGUAGGAGGUCCGAGGAUUCGAAUGCUAAGUCUGGAGCUCUGAUGCAGGUGCAGCGGCAGUGGAGCCUAGGUUUGUCUGUGAUUUAGAUGAGUUUUUAAUCCACCAGCUACCGCCUUUGUCCCGUUCUCUCCUCUCC
rnacentral:lncRNA from 1 species